rnacentral:rRNA from 1 species
UACGUAGGGGGCAAGCGUUGUCCGGAUUUAUUGGGCGUAAAGAGCGUGUAGGCGGCCAUACAGGUCAGCUGUGAAAACUCGAGGCUCAACCUCGAGACGUCGGUUGAAACCGUAUGGCUAGAGUCCGGAAGAGGAGAGUGGAAUUCCCGGUGUAGCGGUGAAAUGCGCAGAUAUCAAGAGGAACACCAGUGGCGAAGGCGAGUCCCUGGACAACACCUGACACUGAGGCACGAAAGCUAGGGGAGCAAACAGG